rnacentral:rRNA from 1 species
UGCUUACCUGCAGUCGAACGAUGAUGCCCAGCUUGCUGGGCGGAUUAGUGGCGAACGGGUGAGUAAUACGUGAGUAACCUGCCCUUGACUCUGGGAUAAGCCUGGGAAACUGGGUCUAAUACUGGAUACUACCUCUUACCGCAUGGUGGGUGGUGGAAAGGGUUUUACUGGUUUUGGAUGGGCUCACGGCCUAUCAGCUUGUUGGUGGGGUAAUGGCUCACCAAGGCGACGACGGGUAGCCGGCCUGAGAGGGUGACCGGCCACACUGGGACUGAGACACGGCCCAGACUCCUACGGGAGGCAGCAGUGGGGAAUAUUGCACAAUGGGCGGAAGCCUGAUGCAGCGACGCCGCGUGAGGGAUGACGGCCUUCGGGUUGUAAACCUCUUUCAGUAGGGAAGAAGCGAGAGUGACGGUACCUGCAGAAGAAGCGCCGGCUAACUACGUGCCAGCAGCCGCGGUAAUACGUAGGGCGCAAGCGUUGUCCGGAAUUAUUGGGCGUAAAGAGCUCGUAGGCGGUUUGUCGCGUCUGCUGUGAAAGCCCGGGGCUCAACCCCGGGUCUGCAGUGGGUACGGGCAGACUAGAGUGCAGUAGGGGAGACUGGAAUUCCUGGUGUAGCGGUGAAAUGCGCAGAUAUCAGGAGGAACACCGAUGGCGAAGGCAGGUCUCUGGGCUGUUACUGACGCUGAGGAGCGAAAGCAUGGGGAGCGAACAGGAUUAGAUACCCUGGUAGUCCAUGCCGUAAACGUUGGGCACUAGGUGUGGGGGACAUUCCACGUUUUCCGCGCCGUAGCUAACGCAUUAAGUGCCCCGCCUGGGGAGUACGGCCGCAAGGCUAAAACUCAAAGGAAUUGACGGGGGCCCGCACAAGCGGCGGAGCAUGCGGAUUAAUUCGAUGCAACGCGAAGAACCUUACCAAGGCUUGACAUUCACCGGACCGCCCCAGAGAUGGGGUUUCCCUUCGGGGCUGGUGGACAGGUGGUGCAUGGUUGUCGUCAGCUCGUGUCGUGAGAUGUUGGGUUAAGUCCCGCAACGAGCGCAACCCUCGUUCUAUGUUGCCAGCACGUGAUGGUGGGGACUCAUAGGAGACUGCCGGGGUCAACUCGGAGGAAGGUGGGGAUGACGUCAAAUCAUCAUGCCCCUUAUGUCUUGGGCUUCACGCAUGCUACAAUGGCCGGUACAAAGGGUUGCGAUACUGUGAGGUGGAGCUAAUCCCAAAAAGCCGGUCUCAGUUCGGAUUGAGGUCUGCAACUCGACCUCAUGAAGUCGGAGUCGCUAGUAAUCGCAGAUCAGCAACGCUGCGGUGAAUACGUUCCCGGGCCUUGUACACACCGCCCGUCAAGUCACGAAAGUUGGUAACACCCGAAGCCGGUGGCCUAACCCCUUGUGGGAGGGAGCCGUCGAAGGU